rnacentral:rRNA from 1 species
UAGAGUUUGAUCAUGGCUCAGAUUGAACGCUAGCGGGAUGCCUUACACAUGCAAGUCGAACGGCAGCACGGACUUCGGUCUGGUGGCGAGUGGCGAACGGGUGAGUAAUGUAUCGGAACGUGCCUAGUAGCGGGGGAUAACUACGCGAAAGCGUAGCUAAUACCGCAUACGCCCUUCGGGGGAAAGCAGGGGAUCGCAAGACCUUGCACUAUUAGAGCGGCCGAUAUCGGAUUAGCUAGUUGGUGGGGUAACGGCUCACCAAGGCGACGAUCCGUAGCUGGUUUGAGAGGACGACCAGCCACACUGGGACUGAGACACGGCCCAGACUCCUACGGGAGGCAGCAGUGGGGAAUUUUGGACAAUGGGGGAAACCCUGAUCCAGCCAUCCCGCGUGUGCGAUGAAGGCCUUCGGGUUGUAAAGCACUUUUGGCAGGAAAGAAACGUCCCGGGAUAAUACCCCGGGAAACUGACGGUACCUGCAGAAUAAGCACCGGCUAACUACGUGCCAGCAGCCGCGGUAAUACGUAGGGUGCAAGCGUUAAUCGGAAUUACUGGGCGUAAAGCGUGCGCAGGCGGUUCGGAAAGAAAGAUGUGAAAUCCCAGAGCUUAACUUUGGAACUGCAUUUUUAACUACCGAGCUAGAGUGUGUCAGAGGGAGGUGGAAUUCCGCGUGUAGCAGUGAAAUGCGUAGAUAUGCGGAGGAACACCGAUGGCGAAGGCAGCCUCCUGGGAUAACACUGACGCUCAUGCACGAAAGC